rnacentral:rRNA from 1 species
GACGAACGCUGGCGGCGUGCCUAAUACAUGCAAGUCGAGCGGAUGAAAGAGGAGCUUGCUCCUCUAGAUUCAGCGGCGGACGGGUGAGUAACACGUGGGCAACCUGCCCUGUAGAUUGGGAUAACUCCGGGAAACCGGGGCUAAUACCGCAUAAUACUUCGGACCUCAUGGUCCGAUGUUGAAAGACGGUGUCGGCUGUCACUACAGGAUGGGCCCGCGGCGCAUUAGCUAGUCGGUGAGGUAACGGCUCACCAAGGCCACGAUGCGUAGCCGACCUGAGAGGGUGAUCGGCCACACUGGGACUGAGACACGGCCCAGACUCCUACGGGAGGCAGCAGUAGGGAAUCUUCCACAAUGGGCGAAAGUCUGAUGGAGCAACGCCGCGUGAGUGAAGAAGGUUCUCGGAUCGUAAAACUCUGUUGUGAGGGAAGAACAAGUACCGGAGUAACUGCCGGUGCCUUGACGGUACCUCAUUAGAAAGCCACGGCUAACUACGUGCCAGCAGCCGCAGUAA